rnacentral:rRNA from 1 species
AUGGCGCUCGGCGGCUGCGGCAACGAAGCUGAUGGUGCACAAGCCAACCAUGGAGGCAGUAGCACGGGGCAGCGACAGCAGCAUGGAGGGCGUCCUCUUGUUUGGGAAGGUAAUGGAACUGCAAAUAGGAGUGGCAGCGGCGACCAAGAUGCAAAUGGAAGUGGUUCCCGAAGACCUUGGAAAGGACUUAAAGACAAUAACUUAUAUGAUCCUUGGAACCAUGCAUGGCCGUAUUAUGGGGGUUUUGAUUGCACGUACUGCAGCCUAAAGCACAAAGGUGGAGGUGCAACCCGUGUCGCGGAGCACCUUGGUGGUAUUGUAGGUAAUGUGAGGAGCUGUCCCAAUGUGCCAAGAAAUGUGAGAGAUGCAAUGAGAGAGUGCCGGGAUGAAUCAAGGAGGAAGAAAAGAGACAAACAAAAUAGCAGGCUGAGAAUUGAAAGAAAUAUUAUGGAAGGGUUGUAUAAAAAAGGAGGGGUGGUUAACGUACCAGAUGAUGAUGAAGAAGAAAUUCAGAUGAAUAUUAGAGAAGCAUUGCGUGACCCGAAUGUCUCUCGCAGAAUUGAAAGGAGAAUUGGCAAGGGGGGUGUGGGUGAUGUGCAUGUUUCUGUUGGUAAAAGGAGUAUCAGCGCCUAUUUUGACUGGCAAUUAUCUAGCAACAAAGUAUCUAUGCAGCCCAAGAUCAGUAGUGCUUUGGAUCCUAAUUCAAGAGAUGCACUUGGUCUAGCUUGGUCCAAGUUUUUUCAUGCCAAUGAUAUUGCUAGACGUAAAGCUGAUUGCCCAUACUUUCGAGCUGCUGUGAAGAUCACUCAACAAUUAGGGCCUAUUCCUAUACCAACUGCGAAGGAGAUUGAUGGGCCAUAUUUGGAGGCCAACUAUGAUGAAGCUAAUUCGUUUCUUCAAAAAUUCAAACAAGACUGGAAGAACUUUGGUGUGACUCUUAUGUGCGAUUCUUGGACUGGUCCUACAGGAAUGAGCAUCAUAAACUUCAUGGUGUAUUGUAAUGCACGAAUGUUCUUCCUCAAUACCAUUGAUGCAUCCGGACAAACUCAGAAUUCAGACUUUAUCUAUAGAGAGAUUGAAGGCGUCUUAUGUUGGUUCAAAGGGUAA